rnacentral:rRNA from 1 species
GAUGAACCACUUCGGUGGGGAUUAGUGGCGAACGGGUGAGUAACACGUGGGCAAUCUGCCCUGCACUCUGGGACAAGCCCUGGAAACGGGGUCUAAUACCGGAUACUGACCCGCUUGGGCAUCCAAGCGGUUCGAAAGCUCCGGCGGUGCAGGAUGAGCCCGCGGCCUAUCAGCUUGUUGGUGAGGUAAUGGCUCACCAAGGCGACGACGGGUAGCCGGCCUGAGAGGGCGACCGGCCACACUGGGACUGAGACACGGCCCAGACUCCUACGGGAGGCAGCAGUGGGGAAUAUUGCACAAUGGGCGAAAGCCUGAUGCAGCGACGCCGCGUGAGGGAUGACGGCCUUCGGGUUGUAAACCUCUUUCAGCAGGGAAGAAGCGAAAGUGACGGUACCUGCAGAAGAAGCGCCGGCUAACUACGUGCCAGCAGCCGCGGUAAUACGUAGGGCGCGAGCGUUGUCCGGAAUUAUUGGGCGUAAAGAGCUCGUAGGCGGCUUGUCACGUCGGUUGUGAAAGCCCGGGGCUUAACCCCGGGUCUGCAGUCGAUACGGGCAGGCUAGAGUUCGGUAGGGGAGAUCGGAAUUCCUGGUGUAGCGGUGAAAUGCGCAGAUAUCAGGAGGAACACCGGUGGCGAAGGCGGAUCUCUGGGCCGAUACUGACGCUGAGGAGCGAAAGCGUGGGGAGCGAACAGGAUUAGAUACCCUGGUAGUCCACGCCGUAAACGGUGGGCACUAGGUGUGGGCGACAUUCCACGUCGUCCGUGCCGCAGCUAACGCAUUAAGUGCCCCGCCUGGGGAGUACGGCCGCAAGGCUAAACUCAAAGGAAUUGACGGGGGCCCGCACAAGCGGCG